GCAAGUCGAGCGAGAAAGGGGACUUCGGUUCCCUGAGUACAGCGGCGCACGGGUGAGUAACGCGUGGGUAAUCAACCUUCGAGUGGGGAAUAACAGCGGGAAACUGCUGCUAAUUCCGCAUGACGUUCACAGACUUCGGUCUGUGGACCAAAGCCGGGGACCUUCGGGCCUGGCGCUUGGAGACGAGCCCGCGUCCGAUUAGUUUGUUGGUGGGGUAAUGGCCUACCAAGACUUUGAUCGGUAGCCGGCCUGAGAGGGCGGACGGCCACACUGGAACUGAGACACGGUCCAGACUCCUACGGGAGGCAGCAGUGGGGAGUUUUUCGCAAUGGGGGAAACCCUGACGAAGCAACGCCGCGUGAAGGAUGAAGGCCUUCGGGUCGUAAACUUCUGUCAACCGGGAAGAAACCGUCCAGUCGAAUAGACUGUGGCGUUGACUGUACCGGUGGAGGAAGCUCCGGCUAACUCUGUGCCAGCAGCCGCGGUAAUACAGAGGGAGCAAGCGUUGUUCGGAAUUACUGGGCGUAAAGGGCGCGUAGGCGGUCCAUCAAGUCUUGUGUGAAAUCCCCUGGCUCAACUAGGGAACUGCACGGGAAACUGGUGGACUUGAGUUCGGGAGAGGGAAGCGGAAUUCCAGGUGUAGCGGUGAAAUGCGUAGAUAUCUGGAGGAACACCGGUGGCGAAGGCGGCUUCCUGGACCGACACUGACGCUGAGGCGCGAAAGCUAGGG
rnacentral:rRNA from 1 species